GACGAACGCUGGCGGCGUGCCUAAUACAUGCAAGUCGAACGCACAGUUUAUACCGUAGCUUGCUACACCAUAGACUGUGAGUUGCGAACGGGUGAGUAACGCGUAGGUAACCUGCCUGGUAGCGGGGGAUAACUAUUGGAAACGAUAGCUAAUACCGCAUAAUAUUAAUUAUUGCAUGAUAAUUAAUUGAAAGGUGCAAUUGCACCACUACCAGAUAGAUCUGCGUUGUAUUAGCUAGUAGGUGAGGUAACGGCGCACCUAGGCGACGAUACAUAGCCGAACGGAGAGGGUGAUCGGCCACCCUGGGACUGUGACACGGCCCAGACUCCUACGGGAGGCAGCAGGAGGGAAACUUCGGCAAUGGACGAAAGUCUGACCGAGAAACGCCGCGGGAGUGAAGAAGGUUUUCGGAUCGUAAAGCUCUGUUGUAAGAGAAGAACGGGUGUGAGAGUGGAAAGUUCACACUGUGACGGUAUCUUACCAGAAAGGGACGGCUAAUUACGUG
rnacentral:rRNA from 1 species